rnacentral:misc_RNA from 1 species
GUGAAUCAUCGAAUCUUUGAACGCAAAUUGCACUCUCUGGUAUUCCGGAGAGUAUGCCUGUUUGAGGGUCAGUUUAAAUAAAAUCGGUGUUGUUGCUGCCUUUCGGUGUGACGCACCGGGAGGGGGUCGUCUUGCCUUUGGGUAAGGGACCUAAAAUUUUGCAAGAUUUUUUUGAACGUAUUUUAAUUAUUUUACGUACGUUUGCGAUAUCCGAUACUAGGUGCGGGCAUCCUC